rnacentral:rRNA from 1 species
GUGCCAGCAGCCGCGGUAAUACGUAGGGCGCAAGCGUUGUCCGGAAUUAUUGGGCGUAAAGAGCUCGUAGGCGGCUUGUCGCGUCUGCCGUGAAAGUCUAAGGCUUAACCUUAGAUCUGCGGUGGGUACGGGCAGGCUAGAGUGCGGUAGGGGUGACUGGAAUUCCUGGUGUAGCGGUGGAAUGCGCAGAUAUCAGGAGGAACACCGAUGGCGAAGGCAGGUCACUGGGCCGCAACUGACGCUGAGGAGCGAAAGCAUGGGGAGCGAACAGGAUUAGAAACCCCAGUAGUCC